AAUCUCCAGGGCCCUCCUAUAACUGUCACAGUUAACAGUAAAACAGGUGAUUCUUAACAGAAACCCUUGCUCUACAGUUUGGUAUUCAGUUUGCUCUUCUGUCUAGUAUUGUAUUGUAUUCUAGGAUCUUCCUUUAGAGAACUGUGAGCAGUCUGGAAGUCCGUUAGAAGAGCAGUUCUGUGAUAGCUCCUAACCAAGAAACUUCCAUUGUUUGAAUUUCCAUCCUGAGGAAGACCUACAACAAGGACCACUGAGUGCAGAGGACAGAUUGUCUGCUCCAAGACUCUCUGGUAUCUGCAGCCGGGGGCAAAACCAAUUCUUUUUUUGCUUCUUUGUACCAUAUGGUUCUUCUUGCUCACUCUUCCUGGUAGCAGUGGUGGUGCUACCUGCCUUGCAGUCAGCCACUCUUCCACCCAGCAUCUCUCUAAUAAUUGCUCCAGAAAGCUCCUGAGAACCAGGUAUUCAUGUUGCAGUGCCAGCGGCCAUGUCACAAUUUGUUCUUGUGAAGACCACAACAGAGCAAAGUUCCUAUGGAUCACGAGGGUGUCAAGCUGCUGCACAGAGUCCUGUCAUAGAUGCAGUGAGGGAUCCGUUCCUGGGUGACAAAUCAGGAUGCCAUCUGGUGAUGGCCUAUCCCAAAUUAACUUCUAUCUUGUUCUAGUGCCUUGUCUGAAGUUGCUGCUUUGUUUCAGCUAAGGAUGGGACUGGCUUUGCUCAGAGAUGAUUCUGACAGUGCUCCAACUCAUUUAGCCCCAAAUGAGAAGAAAUGUUAUGUGUGAAGCUAGAAAAAAAUGAAACAAAUAAAGAAAAACCUCCGAAGAUUAGGCAAUUCCAAUCACCAUUAGCUUUGGAAAUUUCAGUAACUUGAUUCAAAUGGCUAAUGCACCACUAACUGUUUCUCCCACUGUUAGAUUCGAAGAGGCUAAUAAUGGUCCAGGUAGCUACGACUAGGAUAAUCUAAUACAAGUGUUUGGUUUACAUUACUGGUCGUGGAGAAGCUAUUUUCAUUUUGAAGAUUUUCAUCGGAAGAUUUCCAUUGUUGCAGCAAAGGCUCAAAAAGUGCCCAGACUUAUUAGGGAGUUUUGAGCUGUCAUGAGAAAUAUGGUUAGUCACAAAAUGAUUUCUUUGGCCAGCCACAAAAUAUUUGAAGUCCAAAGAUUUAAUAUCUGAAAAUGAAAAGAGCAGAUAAAAGCAGGAUAUCACAAUAACAAA